GUGAGGAAUAUUGGUCAAUGGGCGAGAGCCUGAACCAGCCAAGUCGCGUGAAGGAUGAAGGUUUUAUGAAUUGUAAACUUCUUUUGCAGGGGAAUAAAGUACGGUACGUGUACCGUUUUGUAUGUACUCUGCGAAUAAGGAUCGGCUAACUCCGUGCCAGCAGCCGCGGUAAUACGGAGGAUCCGAGCGUUAUCCGGAUUUAUUGGGUUUAAAGGGUGCGUAGGUGGAUUGAUAAGUCAGCGGUGAAAGUUUGCAGCUUAACUGUAAAAUUGCCGUUGAAACUGUCGGUCUUGAGUGCAAAUGAGGUAGGCGGAAUGUGUUGUGUAGCGGUGAAAUGCUUAGAUAUAACACAGAACUCCGAUUGCGAAGGCAGCUUACUGGGAUGCAACUGACACUGAUGCACGAAAGCGUGGGUAUCAAACAGGAUUAGAAACCCCAGUAGUCC
rnacentral:rRNA from 1 species